GAUGAACGCUGGCGGCGUGCCUAAUACAUGCAAGUCGAGCGAACGGACGAGAAGCUUGCUUUUCUGAUGUUGGCGGCGGACGGGUGAGUAACACGUGGAUAACCUACCUAUAAGACUGGGAUAACUUCGGGAAACCGGAGCUAAUACCGGAUAAUAUUUUGAACCGCAUGGUUCAAAAGUGAAAGACGGUCUUGCUGUCACUUAUAGAUGGAUCCGCGCUGCAUUAGCUAGUUGGUAAGGUAACGGCUUACCAAGGCAACGAUGCAUAGCCGACCUGAGAGGGUGAUCGGCCACACUGGAACUGAGACACGGUCCAGACUCCUACGGGAGGCAGCAGUAGGGAAUCUUCCGCAAUGGGCGAAAGCCUGACGGAGCAACGCCGCGUGAGUGAUGAAGGUCUUCGGAUCGUAAAACUCUGUUAUUAGGGAAGAACAUAUGUGUAAGUAACUGUGCACAUCUUGACGGUACCUAAUCAGAAAGCCACGGCUAACUACGUG
rnacentral:rRNA from 1 species